UAUAAAAUGAAGAUGAAAAUACCCAUUUCAAAUAUUUAUUUUGGGCCCUGGCUGGAUAACUCAGUUAGUUAGAACAUUGUCUCUAUACACCAAGGUUGGAGGUUUGAUCUCCAGUCAGUGCACAUGUAAGAAACAACCAAUAGAACAACAAGUCCAUGUUUCUCUCUCUCUCUCUCUCUCUCUCUCUCUCUCUCU